UACAACUUUUAACAACGGAUCUCUUGGCUCUCGCAUCGAUGAAGAACGCAGCGAAAUGCGAUAAGUAAUGUGAAUUGCAGAAUUCAGUGAAUCAUCGAAUCUUUGAACGCACCUUGCGCUCUCUGGUAUUCCGGAGAGUACGCCUGUUCGAGUGUC
rnacentral:rRNA from 1 species